UUCUCCAAAUCAUAUCAGUUGCAGUUUCCAGACUAUUCGCUGGACAUUAAACAACUCAAUAAAGCUUGGAAAAGAGUUGAUCAUCUGUGGUCAUAGUAAUCAUGUCUGAAUGAUUUCUCAAACAAUGGAGUAGCUCAGUUCACUAGUCUCAGAAGAUUGAAUAACAACUUUUGCAUCAAAGUAGCAAACAGAUUAGUGUCUGAAUGAUUUCUCAAACAAUGGAGUAGCUCGUCAUUACUCUCAGAAGAUUGGAAAACAACUUCUUUGCAUCAAAGUAGCAAACAGGUCCAUCUUCCUGGACGAUUACACUUCAACCAGAUGGAACAGCUAGAAAAAAGAUGGGUUGCUGAAGACAUUCUCCAUAUCAUAUCAAUUGGUGAGUACAGUUUGUAUUGUCUUUAGUUAGUAACAGCAUGUUUACAUUAUAGAAUAUCUACAUAAUCAUCAGCAUAUCCUGGAUAUAACUUGGUGCACUGCGCUUCUAGAACCACCCUGUGAGAGUUAUAUUUGGCUGUAACCAAGGCUUCUGUUAUUUAAAAACAUGUGUUGUCAAUUGAAACUACAAAAAUGUUUCACAAUAUGUAACUGGCUUGUGUCACUGAUAUGUUUCAUUGUAAGAUGUUCCUAGGAUGGGAGUCCAAUCAACAGAAAUUACAAUUAUUCAGUCUUUUCGUCAUGUCAAGAUGGCUCUUUUUUUGCUUUUCCAGGCUCACUUGUUUAUUUCAAAUGCAAUGGCUAUAAAACUUGAGGAAUGAGGAGAAUUAUUUUAGUUUAAAUUAUGAGCUUAUUUACGCUGCAGUUUUUUUAACAAGUCAUGUGCCCAGUGAAGAUUUGGAUGUUAUAUAGUUGUCACAAAUUAUCAUUAGUAUCAUUAGAGAAGAAGUGCAGAGGUAGAUCAUCUUUAUGUACAUGUAACCCUGAAAUUCUUUUUACUUGAAGUUUCAUGUACCUGAUGCUCCCUUAGAAAUGAAAGUAAGGCAUCAACCAAAAUUUCUGGGAGAAGGUUGCUAGGCAAUUUUUUCAAUUUUAUAUGCAGUUUUUCAAUUUUACAUUGUACCAAA
rnacentral:lncRNA from 1 species